rnacentral:misc_RNA from 1 species
GGAACUGAAAAUACACAAGUUUACAAAAUUAAGCAAUAUAAACAAGAUCUCAAGCCAUGCACCAUACACACAAAACUACAUAGAAGAUCCAACACUUCUCACAACAAUUGGGGUGGCAACAAAUGCUUAAAGAUUUUAGACUUUGUGAACAAAUUAAGCUUUACUCACGGAUUCUACUGUGAAGGGAGAAGACUGAAAGCAUGAUAAGCAGAACUAGAAGAACCGAAGCGAACAAUGCUAUUGCUAUGGAGCUUCCUACAUGUCUACAGAAUUCAUCAUAAACAUUGCAAACCUUCGUCCAUCCUGUGUGGCUGUUCCCCUUCAACCCAAUAUAUGCUACUCCACCGGCUGCACCGGUUGCUGCCGCUACUAUUCCCAGAAUCAACACAUCCCAAAAUGCAUAGUGAAGCAAGAAUUUUGUUGCAUAAAUUGGCUUAGCGAUGACCCCAAGGGAUGCAAGCGCUGUGAUGAUACUGUACAAGCAAGCAACUGAUAAUGCUGCUACAAAGUAUAUGAAGGCAGGUGAGUGAUUAAAUUUGGCAGCGAUAGGAACUCUGACAGGGGCUCCCGGCACAAAAACUGGCUCUGUUUGCUUGGCAGUGGACAUGACC